UUAUGCCCUCCUCUUCCCGACGCUUCUCGUCACCUCCGCCGCCUCUCCUUCCCAAUCUGACCUCGGCAAUGGCUGCCCCCGGCCACGCCGCAGUGCCAGCAGGCCUUGCCGAUGGCCGCCACCGUCGAUGCCCUACCGACGGCGCCUUCUCCCCUUCCCCCCCUCUCUCCCUCGCUCCUCGUCCGUUGUUCGCUGGCAGCGCAGGGCGAGUGCGCCGGCAGUGCAGGCCGAGCCCCCAGUCGUGACGGCACCGGGCCGGCUCCUUCCUCUGUCCCUCCUCCCGUCCAUGUGCUGCCUUAGUCGCGGCGGCGCGAGGGCGCCCCUGGCACGGCGGUGUAGUGGCGACGCCCUUGCCAACAGCCCCCUCCUACUCCGUUCCCCGCGCUGGUGAGUCCCGAUGGCCUCUUCUCCUACAUCUCUCUCUCUUCCCAUCUUUCUCGAUGCGGGCGCAGCCAGGGCGGCCACGCCAUGGUUGACCUCGGCACGGCGGCUGCCGUCUUUCUCCGCCCCUACGCCUCCCUCGCGCCACACGGGCGGGGGCGACCGUGACCCCCACCGGUGGCUGGCAGUGCGGCCGCCCCCUGCUGCUGCCUCCUUCCGCUAAAUCGUGACUGUUCUGUUCCUAUGCUCCAUGAAACUUGCCUCUGCUGGAUCUAGCAGCACCUCAUCCUCUUUUCCUCCUCCGUCUCAUGCUUCAUCCCCAGAAAAUCCUGCUUGCGAAACCUGCAAAAGCAGCCGCCAUUUAUGCAAAUUCUAAUGUUCAUUGUGUAUAUGAGCGAGGAAGAAAAUAUAAAUCAACACAUGAUAGAAGAUAUCUUGAAGGUGUUCAAGUUAAAUCCUGGGAGGAGAUAACCCAGUGUUUUAAAUGAACCUGUCUUAGACAUGACUGAGCUUGGAUAUGAGGUGGUGCUGACAAUCCUGCUAGCAGAACCUGCAGAAGGUCCGCAUCUCGUGUCAUUAGCCUCCCCACCGCCGGUAAAAGAGGACAUCCAGUACACUGAUCAAUCUCGCCACAGGCUUCUUUCAGUAAUCGAUCUCGCCAAUAUCCAGGUUGCAGGAAACAAAUUUAUUCAGAUCAAGUGAGACUGGUGGUUGUUGUUACAUGGAGCGCUUCAUCAAGAGGAUUUGCUUAUCGACCAAUGUGACCCACUUAUUAAGGUAUGUUAUCUCCAUACUUCCUACAUAGAGGUAUCAUGAAUGCUUACGCUCUAAUUUUUAUUUAGAGAAUAAGUAACUAGAUGUGUUAUGUUUCCUUUUGCUUACUAAGUUAGCGUCAACUAAUGAUCGAAAAGUGAUAUUUCAUUCUUACCGGUGCUUCUAUUUACAUCAUAAGCAUUAUUAUCAAUUACAAGAGAGGCUCGCCCAUUAACGAGGCCUAUAUAUGAUAAUACAUUCAAAUUCUUGUGUGAUUACUACUUCUACAUAGGAUGAUGCCUACUAGCUCUUAUGUAGGUAGUGUCGCUGCUUAUACUCAAUCAAGCUGGUUCUGCUGCUUUGCUUUACUCUAAGUUUAUGCCUUCACUUUACUGUAGGUUGACGUAUUUAAUAUUAUUUCCUUCCUGGUACUUUCGCUGCAAAGACCGUUUCUCACCACAUAAAGGUGAAAUUAGCAGGUGCCAUGAUCUUAGCACUUGGAUAAAAAUCUUAGUAGUCAUCUACCGUAAAAUACUUACCAUCUAAUAAAAUUGAAUUUGAAACCAUAAGAGUACCAGUAUAGGUUAUCCUUGAAGUAUUUGGUACACUUACUAAACAAACUUGAAUUUGAAGUGAUUAUCUGUAAACCUGCAGUACCACGCAGUCUGCAGUGACGACAUUCACUAUCCUUCAACACGACACUUAAUUAUUAAUUCGUGCUCCAGGUGUGAGGCCAUUAUACUCAGAACCCGUACAGGCUCACAGAUUUGAGGCUAGAUGGAUGUUGGACCACUAAAUGGCACCUACUCAACCUGUUUACUCCUGUAUUAAUAUAUCUCCCUUUUUUUGCCUUAUGUCAUACUCCCCAUUAGUUUGGUAUUAUUUUACAAAAAAACAUGAGAAGAAAGACACCUCCUUGUUUUCUAAAAAAUCAGACACCUUAUCCAUGGAUUUCCAAGGCAUGGGGAAACUGUGCGCCUUUCUGGAUGUUGUAUGACCUUUUUAUGCACAAAUUUUCUUAUGCAGUUUGAAAAUUACAUAUUCAUUCUCAAACAUACUUUUGAAUGUAUUGGUAUGACAAAUACUGCAACAUCUAAAAUUGCUGCAAGGCUCUAUUUUCAUGCAUAGAAUUUUGUUGUUUAUCAUGUUUCCAUCCUUUUAGCUAAUUAAAAAUGCAUUUUAUACUAAUUUUGUCCCAUUUUUGAAACAAAAAAUCCUCAUGUUUGUAUGAUCGAUGGUGUGCGUUUCAAAUGUUGGCUCUCUAUUAGCAUUAUUGGUGUAGUUUUUUUAAUGGUAGAUUUCAUAAAGAUUAUGACUACUUAGAUUUUGGAGGGAUAGCAAAUUCUAUUUUCUUCCUCUAGCAAACAAAUUUCCAUUGACUCAAAAGUUAAGUGUGCUUCGUGUGUCCCUACUUUCCAUCAAUAGCAUCUUCACUUCCAGCAGAGAUACAUGGCAUGGACAAACUCCUCAGCAACCACCACCAUCGGCAGCAGAAAAUCAAACCUGUAAACAAUGUUUAUCUCAACUUCUUGUGCCAUGCUAUCCAAUGUGUGAAUAUCCAUUGUACAACAUGGCCUUCGAAAACUACAAGUAAUAUAUAGUCUUGUACUACCUUUUACUGUUUUCAGAGUUAAGCAGUAUAUAUAAUAUAUGUAUUAUGUGUAUAUUUACCUACUAUUGACUUACUGCUGGCUUUUGUACCAGCUCUGCCAAUCACUUCGCACUUCUUUUAUGUGGCGCCUGAACUCUCUUAUGUAUCGAACAUAACUUAGCACCCAUUACCGUCCACACUAUUUUAUA